AGAGUUUGAUCCUGGCUCAAAACGAACGCUGGCGGCAUGCCUAACACAUGCAAGUCAAACGAGACCUUCGGGUCUAGUGGCGCACGGGUGCGUAACGCGUGGGAACCUGCCUUGAGGUUCGGAAUAACUCCCCGAAGGGGGUGCUAAUACCGGAUAAUGUCUUCGGACCAAAUAUUUAUCGCCUUUAGAUGGGCCCGCGUUGGAUUAGCUAGUUGGUGGGGUAAUGGCUUACCAAGGCGACGAUCUGUAACCGGCCUGAGAGGGCGGUCGGUCACACUGACACUGACAUACGGGUCACACUCCUACGGGAGGCAGCAGUCGGGAAUUUUGGGCAAUGGGCGAAAGCCUGACCCAGCAACGCCGCGUGAAAGAUGACAUCCCUCGGGAUGUAAACUUCGCAAGAGUGGGAAGA
rnacentral:rRNA from 1 species